rnacentral:lncRNA from 1 species
UCUAUGAACUAGGAAAUAGGGCCUCAUCAUAUAAGGAAUAUGUGAGCACUUUGAUCUGGGACUUAGCUUCCAGAACUGUGAAAAAUAAAUUUCUGUCAUUUAUAAGCUACUUAGUCUACGGUAUUUUGUUAUAGCUGCUCGAAUGGGCUAACACAGAGACAAUUCCCAGCCUGCCCAAAGAGCACCAGGAAGUGUUGGGUACAGCAAAGCUGGAACAGAGGCAUGAGGGGAAGAGCAACAGGGCUGUAAUCAAAGAGGUGUGCCUGGUGGGGAGCAUGAGUAGAGCUGUAUAAUCUGUACAAUAAUGACUCAGAGUGGAAUUAGAAGUCCUUAAAAGUGAGUGAGCAGAGUGGCAUGAUCUCCAUGAUACUAUGUUAUAUUCUUGCUUGGGUAUUGAGAAUAGACUGAGGGUGAGGGCUAAUGCAGAAGCAGGAAGGGGGAUAAAAAUUCAGAUGAGACAUGAUUUUGGCUUGGCCUGGGUGGAUAACAGCAGUAGUAAAAAUUACUUAAAUGUUUUGAAGGUGGGUUUGCUGAGAAGUAAAGGAUGUGUGGAGAAAACUGGAUUGAGAAUUGUAUAAGGACUGUAUUGUAUAUUGUAUGAGAGUGUAGAUCCAGGAUGAGUCACAGUAUUUUUGAAGUUGUAGUAAAUGGAAUGAACUAGAAAGAUAGAAGUUAAUGUUCAGAAGGCAGGAGACUUAAAAGUUAGAUUGUAAAAAUUUGCAAUUAGUAAUAACGUGGUUUGAGCUGAGAUCAUGAGAUUGAAUAGCUAGAUACUGAAGAUAGCAAGUACAUUGGAAAUGACGAGGUCAAAUGUCAAAGAAGGUAAGUAAUUUAAAUGAGACAUCAAAAUAAUGGCAGUUAAGUCAGGUUGUAAAGACUGCAAAGAAUGAGGGAAAGUGACUAAACAUUGGGAGAGUGAUCAAUAUAAUCAAAUGGUAUGAGAUUCUAAGCUGGAGGGGUUUGAGGAGAAGGAAGUAGAAGUAUUCUGCAAGAGGACACUUAUUUUACUUCUAGAGGCAGUGGUUAGAGCGCUGAGGGUGAGAACUAGUCUGCACUUAGGGGGCGACAUGAGAAGCAGCAGCAUCAGUGAGAGACAGAUGACAAUAAGAAUGAAAAUGUAAAGGGAAAAUUGAGAAACUUAUAAAAAUUGAGAUUCUUCUAUGCACUCUGUACGUUUCUUACAGAAGCUUUCAACGCAUUUAAUUUCAUUUAAAUCUUGCAAUACUCUUGAGAGAUAUUAUCAUUCCCUUUUUACCAAAAAAGGCUGAAUGGCCAAGAUCACAUAAAAUCACAUAAAUAAUAGAAGUCAAAAGUAUGACUUUAACCCAUCUAGUGUUAUAAGAACCACAUAAUCUUCAGUAAGUUGAAAGUAUCUUAAUUAAAUUUAAAAAAUUAAUAAAUAUUUUUUCAAAAGAUGUAUUCAAGUUAUCAAUUUGAAGAAAAAUGAACAUAUUACUUAGAAACAGCCCUGGAUUACAGUCCCAAUUAUAUCACUUAAUAAUUGUGUGGUUUAGGUAAGCCAUGUAAAGUUGCUGUACUACUUAAAUUUAAAAUAAAGACAAUUUUACCUAAACAUAAAAUUGUUGUAAUGUUAUUGUGCAGUUAUAAAUCACUUAUUAAAUUAUAAAUUUAUGAUAAGUAUUAAA